ensembl:lncRNA
CCACAUAGUGUGUGCCUGAUAGUGCAGAAUCCCUUAAAAACAAGGAUCUCUGUGAAUACAUCAAAACCUGACUAGGCUUAAUCUGUGCUUCCCCCUUUAGCUUGGGUACCUAAAUUUGACAUAAGAGCACUGACUUUCUGUAAAGCUCUUUCAGAGGAAGAGGAACAGAAAAUGCAGAGUUCAUUUCAAAGCUCUGUAUUCUCUUCCCCGUUCUUCAGAGUAGGUGUGUUGCCUGGUUGCUUGAUUUCAGUCACUUUUAACAGGGACCAACCUAUCUGUUUCCACCCUGGGACUGUCUUCUAAGGCAAACUAUCACCAAUGGAAGUAAAAUUUGUUUUUCCAGCAUUCUGGGGCUUUGAAGUUGUGAUCGUUCUGGAGAAGAAAUACAUCGAGUGAUGCAUGUUGGCCCCCAGCAAGGGGCUGAAAACGAUGCAGUCAGUGCAGCAAGGAGGCGCGUUGCCCCUCCAGCCGGGAUGUGGUAGGAGUGUGCUCACAGAUCUGGAUGCUUGGUUCUUCUCAUUUUUGUCUAGCCCAUGUUGCUGGAGAGCUUGUG